rnacentral:rRNA from 1 species
GUCAUGCAUGUCUAGCACAAACCUUUACACGGUGAAGCUGCGAAUGGCUCAUUAGGCCACCCAUGAUUUAUUAGAUCGUACAAUCCUACUUGGAUAACUGUGGUAAUUCUAGAGCUAAUACAUGCAACUAAGCUCCGACCCCUCGGGGAAAGAGCGCGUUUAUUAGAUCAAAACCAAUCGGGUCUUCGGAUCCGUACGUUUGGUGACUCUGGAUAACUUCGAGCUGAUCGCAUGGCCUCGCGCCGGCGACGUAUCUUUCAAGUGUGUGCCCUAUCAACUGUCGAUGGUAAGUGAUAUGCUUACCAUGGUGGCAACGGGUAACGGGGAAUGGGGCGGGGGCGGCGGGCCGGGCGCGGGGCCGGGCGGGCG